GAUGAACGCUGGCGGCGUGCCUAAUACAUGCAAGUCGAGCGAACGGACGAGAAGCUUGCUUCUCUGAUGUUAGCGGCGGACGGGUGAGUAACACGUGGAUAACCUACCUAUAAGACUGGGAUAACUUCGGGAAACCGGAGCUAAUACCGGAUAAUAUUUUGAACCGCAUGGUUCAAAAGUGAAAGACGGUCUUGCUGUCACUUAUAGAUGGAUCCGCGCUGCAUUAGCUAGUUGGUAAGGUAACGGCUUACCAAGGCAACGAUGCAUAGCCGACCUGAGAGGGUGAUCGGCCACACUGGAACUGAGACACGGUCCAGACUCCUACGGGAGGCAGCAGUACGGAAUCUUCCGCAAUGGGCGAAAGCCUGACGGAGCAACGCCGCGUGAGUGAUGAAGGUCUUCGGAUCGUAAAACUCUGUUAUUAGGGAAGAACAUAUGUGUAAGUAACUGUGCACAUCUUGACGGUACCUAAUCAGAAAGCCACGGCUAACUACGUG
rnacentral:rRNA from 1 species